rnacentral:lncRNA from 1 species
GUUUCUAGGCCCGAAAGCAUCUAGUCCCAAAGACAUCGUUGGAUUAUUAACUGAUAACUCGCUGAAACUGAAACAGAGGACUGAAAACUGACGCUGCCGGAAAACAGGAACACUGUAGCUGCCGGAAAAACACUGUAGCUGCCGGAAAAAUUCAAAGUUGUCGGAUUUGAAAAGUAAAAAUACGGAUAGGCUCGGAAUUCAAGGGUGAGCAAACUGUCCUGAAGAAAUUCUGGCCGGAAAGUACAGUAGCUGCCGGAAAAGUCACUGUAGGUUGCCGGAAAAAAAUCAAAGUUGUCGGAAUCGAACAAAAAAUGGAUGGGUAGGGUCGGAAUUAUAUUCCGACUAAACUGUCCUUCUGGAGCAAUCGGAAAAAGUGGCCGGAAAGGCCCUCACGCGCCGGCGCGUGGGCGUCACGGGCCGAGGGUCCUGCCGCGCGUGGGGGCGCGUGAAGCGUCGGUUUCUGGUGAUUUUUUCUGGGGUUGGUCGGAAUUCUCUCCCAAACCUCGUGGUGGUCUCGGAUUUUGCACAACACCAACAGAAAAGGUAGUUUAGGN